GUAGGGGGCUAGCGUUGUCCGGAAUCAUUGGGCGUAAAGAGCGCGUAGGCGGCCCGGUAAGUCCGCUCUGAAAGUCAAAGGCUCAACCUUUGAAAGCGGGUGGAUACUGUCGGGCUAGAGUCCGGAAGAGGCGAGUGGAAUUCCUGGUGUAGCGGUGGAAUGCGCAGAUAUCAGGAGGAACACCAACGGCGAAGGCAGCUCGCUAGGACGGUACUGACGCUGAGGCGCGAAAGCGUGGGGAGCGAACAGGAUUAGAUACCCUGGUAGUCCACGCCGUAAACGAUGGGCAUUAGGUGUGGGAGGUGUCGACUCCUCCCGUGCCGGCGCUAACGCAUUAAAUGCCCCGCCUGGGGAGUACGGCCGCAAGGCUAAA
rnacentral:rRNA from 1 species